GAAUACAAGUUCAUCUUGUAGAAUAAUGGCUACUAGAAUCAUCGGUCUAAGCUUUUUUCUAGGAUUUCUAUGCAUUGCUCUUCUUUUUGCUUCAGGAUCAGCACAAAUAGUAUGCCAACAGAAGGGAAUUUGUCCAAAUACUAUAGCUUGCUACAACUAUUGUCUAGGUUUGGGCUUUCAAGGAUAUGGUCGUUGCGAUGAUAAUGGCCUGUGUUGCUGCAAAAAGGGAUGAUGAAGACCCUUGCCUUUGUUGGAUACUUUCAAAAUAAUUGUUUUAUCAUUGUGUUUGUAGCACAAGUUUUCAUUAAAAAAAAAUGAAAAUAUGAAUAAAAUGUUUAAAUUUCAAGUAAUAUCGUUAUA